UAAGCAUAUCAAUAAGCGGAGGAAAAGAAACCAACCGGGAUUGCCUCAGUAACGGCGAGUGAAGCGGCAAGAGCUCAAAUUUGAAAUCUGGCCCCCUCGGGGUCCGAGUUGUAAUUUGCAGAGGAUGCUUCGGGUGCGGUCCCCAUCUAAGUGCCCUGGAACGGGCCGUCAUAGAGGGUGAGAAUCCCGUCUGGGAUGGGCGGCCGCGCCCGUGUGAAGCUCCUUCGACGAGUCGAGUUGUUUGGGAAUGCAGCUCUAAGCGGGUGGUAAAUUUCAUCUAAAGCUAAAUACUGGCCGGAGACCGAUAGCGCACAAGUAGAGUGAUCGAAAGAUGAAAAGCACUUUGAAAAGAGAGUUAAACAGCACGUGAAAUUGUUGAAAGGGAAGCGUUGUCCACCAGACUCGCCCGGGGGGGCUCAGCCGGCACGUGUGCCGGUGUACUCCCCUCCGGGCGGGCCAGCAUCGGUUUGGGCGGCUGGUGAAAGGCCCCGGGAAUGUAACACCCUCCGGGGUGCCUUAUAGCCCGGGGUGCCAUACAGCCAGCCUGGACCGAGGCCCGCGCUUCGGCGAGGAUGCUGGCGUAAUGGUGGUCAACGGCCCGUCUUGAAACACGGACCAAGGAGUCUAACAUCUAUGCGAGUGUUCGGGUGUCAAACCCGUCCGCGCAGUGAAAGCGAACGGAGGUGGGAGCCCCUCGGGGCGCACCAUCGACCGAUCCUGAUGUCUUCGGAUGGAUUUGAGUAAGAGCAUAGCUGUUGGGACCCGAAAGAUGGUGAACUAUGCCUGAAUAGGGCGAAGCCAGAGGAAACUCUGGUGGAGGCUCGCAGCGGUUCUGACGUGCAAAUCGAUCGUCAAAUUUGGGUAUAGGGGCGAAAGACUAAUCGAACCAUCUGGUAGCUGGUUCCUGCCGAA
rnacentral:rRNA from 1 species